rnacentral:rRNA from 1 species
CUACGGGGUGCUGCAGCAAGGAAUAUUGCGCAAUGGGCGAAAGCCUGACGCAGCGACGUCGCGUGGGGGAUGACGGUCUUCGGAUUGUAAACCCCUUUUCUCAGGGAAGAAUAAUGACGGUACCUGAGGAAUAAGUCUCGGCUAACUACGUGCCAGCAGCCGCGGUAAUACGUAGGAGGCGAGCGUUAUCCGGAUUUAUUGGGCGUAAAGAGGGCGUAGGCGGUCUUUCAAGUCGGAUGUUAAAUCUCCUGGCUUAACUGGGAGGGUGCAUUCGAUACCGUUGGACUUGAGGGCAGCAGAGGAAAGCGGAAUUCCCGGUGUAGUGGUGAAAUGCGUAGAUAUCGGGAGGAACACCAGUGGCGAAGGCGGCUUUCUGGGCUGCAUCUGACGCUGAGGCCCGAAAGCGUGGGGAGCGAACAGGAUUAGAUACCCCCGUAGUC